rnacentral:tRNA from 1 species
GAGGCUGACCCGCCUCCGGCGGGGGUUAGAGCAGGGGACUCAUAAUCCCUUGGUCCCUGGUUCGAGUCCAGGUGGGCCCA